rnacentral:rRNA from 1 species
GACGAACGCUGGCGGCGUGCCUAAUACAUGCAAGUCGAACGCAGUGGGAACGGUUUAUUAACACCUGGGUAACCUCCCCAUCAGAGUGGAUAACACUUGGAAACAGGUGCUAAACCGAUACUGAUUGAGGGAGCCGCGGUGCAUUGGCUAGUUGGUGAGGUAACGGCUCACCAAGGCCACGCGGCAUAGCGGACCUGAGAGGGGGAUCGGCCACACUGGGACUGAGAAACGGUCAAGACUCCGAAGGGAGGCAGCAGUAGGGAAUAUUCGGCAAUGGACGAAAGUCUGACCGAGCAAAGCCGCGUGAGUGAAGAAGGUUUUCGGAGCGUAAAACUCUGUUGGUAGAGAAGCGGUAUCUAACCAGAAAGCCACGGCUAACUACGUGCCAGCAGCCGCGGUAAUUC